rnacentral:lncRNA from 1 species
ACUCUCUCAUGCUGCAGUUCCCUCCCAGACUUAACAAGACUCCAGGAAGGGUCUUUCAAAGUGGAAACCAAAGACUCCAGAUGAGACAUUGAAAAUUAAUACCACAAACUUUGCUCUCCUGUAGCCCCAGAGUGAGUGGGCGAAGAUAAGGCCCUGUGUGAUGCCAUGUGGAGAGAAGGCCAGUGGAGCAGAAUGGACAGCCUUGUAAAAUUACCAAGUUCAAGAAGAUGUUGCACACAGCAAGAAAAUAAAAUGAAAAAAUGCUUCAAUACCAUGG